UGAAACGCCAUUGCCAGGUGGCCAGAGC
rnacentral:piRNA from 1 species